UACGAAGGGUGCAAGCGUUAAUCGGAAUUAUUGGGCGUAAAGAGCUCGUAGGCGGUUUGUCGCGUCUGCUGUGAAAUCCCGAGGCUCAACCUCGGGUCUGCAGUGGGUACGGGCAGACUGGAGUGCGGUAGGGGAGAAUGGAAUUCCUGGUGUAGCGGUGGAAUGCGCAGAUAUCAGGAGGAACACCGAUGGCGAAGGCAGUUCUCUGGGCCGUAACUGACGCUGAGGAGCGAAAGCGUGGGGAGCGAACAGG
rnacentral:rRNA from 1 species